rnacentral:rRNA from 1 species
UGUGCUAAUACCCCAUACUAUCUACUGAUGAUAGCACGGGAUCGCAAGACCAUGCACGAAUGGAGCGGCCGAUGGCAGAUUAGGUAGCUGGUGAGGUAUAGGCUCACCAAGCCUUCUAUCUGUAGCUGGCCUGAGAGGACGACCAGCCACACUGGGACUGAGACACGGCCCAGACUCCUACGGGCGGCAGCAGUGGGGAAUUUUGGACAAUGGGCGCAAGCCUGAUCCAGCCAUUCCGCCUGCAUCAUAAAGGCCUUCGGGUUGUAAACUGCUUUUGUACGGAACGAAACGGCCUUUUCUAAUAAAGAGUCCUAAUGACGGUACCGUAAGAAUAAGCACCGGCUAACUACGUGCCAGCAGCCGCCGUAAUACGUAGGGUGCAAGCGUUAAUCGGAAUUACUGGGCGUAAAGCGUGCGCAGGCGGUUAUGUAAGACAGUUGUGAAAUCCCCGGGCUCAACCUGAGCACUGCAUCUGUGACUGCAUAGCUAGAGUACGGUAGAGGGGGAUGGAAUUCCGCGUGUAGCAGUGUAAUGCGUAGAUAUGCAGAGGAACACCGAUGGUGAAGGCAAUCCCCUGGACCUGUACUGACGCUCAUGCAUGAAAACGUGGGGAGCACACAUUAUUAGAUACCCUGGUAAUCCACACCCUAGACGAUGUCAACUGUUUGUUGGGAAUUCACUUUCUCAGUAACGAAGCUAACGCGUGAAGUUGACCGCCUGGAGAGUACGGCUGCCAGGUUGAAACUCAAAGGAAUUGACGGGAACCCGCACAAGCGGUGGACGAUGUGGUUAAAUUCGAUGCAACGCGAAAAACCUUACCCACCUUUGACAUGUACGGAAUUCCCCCGAAAUGGCUUA